rnacentral:rRNA from 2 species
GAGUGAAGAAGGCUUUCGGGUCGUAAAACUCUGUUGUUGGAGAAGAAUGGUCGGCAGAGUAACUGUUGUCGGCGUGACGGUAUCCAACCAGAAAGCCACGGCUAACUACGUGCCAGCAGCCGCGGUAAUACGUAGGUGGCAAGCGUUAUCCGGAUUUAUUGGGCGUAAAGCGAGCGCAGGCGGUUUUUUAAGUCUGAUGUGAAAGCCCUCGGCUUAACCGAGGAAGCGCAUCGGAAACUGGGAAACUUGAGUGCAGAAGAGGACAGUGGAACUCCAUGUGUAGCGGUGAAAUGCGUAGACAUAUGGAAGAACACCAGUGGCGAAGGCGGCUGUCUGGUCUGUAACUGACGCUGAGGCUCGAAAGCAUGGGUAGCGAACAGGAUUAGAUACCCUGGUAGUCCAUGCCGUAAACGAUGAAUGCUAGGUGUUGGAGGGUUUCCGCCCUUCAGUGCUGCAGCUAACGCAUUAAGCAUUCCGCCUGGGGAGUACGACCGCAAGGUUGAAACUCAAAGGAAUUGACGGGGGCCCGCACAAGCGGUGGAGCAUGUGGUUUAAUUCGAAGCAACGCGAAGAACCUACCAGGUCUUGACAUCUUUUGAUCACCUGAG